rnacentral:rRNA from 1 species
CCUACGGGAGGCAGCAGUGAGGAAUAUUGGUCAAUGGUCGGGAGACUGAACCAGCCAAGCCGCGUGAGGGAUGAAGGUACAGAGUAUCGUAAACCUCUUUUGUCAGGGAACAAAGGCGGGGACGUGUCCCCGGAUGAGUGUACCUGAAGAAAAAGCAUCGGCUAACUCCGUGCCAGCAGCCGCGGUAAUACGGAGGAUGCGAGCGUUAUCCGGAUUUAUUGGGUUUAAAGGGUGCGCAGGCGGUCUGUUAAGUCAGCGGUCAAAGCCCGGGGCUCAACCCCGGCCAGCCGUUGAAACUGGCAGUCUUGAGUGGGCGAGAGGUAUGCGGAAUGCGCGGUGUAGCGGUGAAAUGCAUAGAUAUCGCGCAGAACUCCGAUUGCGAAGGCAGCAUGUCGGCGCCGCACUGACGCUGAGGCACGAAAGCGUGGGUAUCGAACAGGAUUAGAUACCCCAGUAGUC